UACGUAGGGUGCGAGCGUUGCCCGGAUUUAUUGGGCGUAAAGGGCGCGUAGGUGGCGCGGGCAGUCAACGGUGAAAGUUCGGGGCUCAACCCUGAAUCGGCCGUCGAUACUCCCGUGCUUGAGCACUGUAGAGGCAGAUGGAAUUCCGGGUGUAGCGGUGGAAUGCGUAGAGAUCCGGAAGAACACCGGUGGCGAAGGCGGUCUGCUGGGCAGUAGCUGACACUGAGGCGCGACAGCGUGGGGAGCAAACAGG
rnacentral:rRNA from 1 species